rnacentral:rRNA from 1 species
UACGUAGGGGGCAAGCGUUGUCCGGAUUUACUGGGCGUAAAGAGCGCGCAGGCGGUCGAUUAAGUCGAAUGUGAAAGCCCCCGGCUUAACUGGGGAGGGUCAUUCGAUACUGUUCGACUUGAAGGCAGGAGAGGGCAGCAGAAUUCCCGGUGUAGUGGUGAAAUGCGUAGAUAUCGGGAGGAAUACCAGUGGCGAAGGCGGCUGCCUGGCCUGUUCUUGACGCUGAGGCGCGAAAGCUGGGGGAGCAAACGGG